rnacentral:tRNA from 1 species
GCCCGGGUGGCGGAACGGCAGACGCAGCCGCCUUAAAAGCGGACGCCCCCACGGGCAUGCGGGUUCGAAUCCCGCCCCGGGCA